rnacentral:rRNA from 1 species
CCCUUAGAUGUUCUGGGCCGCACACGCGCUACACUGAAGGAGGCAGCGUGUACUCCUGGAUCGAAAGAUUUGGGUAACCCGCGAAUCUCCUUCGUGCUAGGGAUUGAGGUUUGCAAUUAUCCUUCAUGAACGAGGAAUUCCCAGUAAGUGCAAGUCAUAAGCUUGCGCUGACUACGUCCCUGCCCUUUGUACACACCGCCCGUCGCUACUACCGAUUGAAUGAUUUAGUGAGGACUUCGGACUGGGACCGAUGCGGCUUUCGGGCUGCGUCGGUAUUCUGGAAAGAUGUCCAAACUGUNUNAUUUAUNGGAAGCAAAANUCGUANCA